rnacentral:rRNA from 1 species
CCCCUAGUAACUGCGAGUGAAGCGGGAAAAGCUCAAAUUUAAAAUCUGGCAGUCUUUGGCUGUCCGAGUUGUAAUCUAGAGAAGUGUUAUCUGCGCUGGACCGUGUACAAGUCUCCUGGAAUGGAGCGUCAUAGAGGGUGAGAAUCCCGUCUUUGACACGGACUACCAGGGCUUUGUGAUGCGCUCUCAAAGAGUCGAGUUGUUUGGGAAUGCAGCUCAAAAUGGGUGGUAAAUUCCAUCUAAAGCUAAAUAUUGGCGAGAGACCGAUAGCGAACAAGUACCGUGAGGGAAAGAUGAAAAGAACUUUGGAAAGAGAGUUAAACAGUACGUGAAAUUGCUGAAAGGGAAACGCUUGAAGUCAGUCGCGUUGUCCAGGGAUCAACCUUGCUUUUGCUUGGUGCAUUUCCUGGUUGAUGGGUCAGCGUCAAUUUUGAUUAUUGGAAAAAGAUCAAGGGAAUGUGGCAUCUUUGGAUGUGUUAUAGCCCUUGGUUGCAUACAAUAGUUGGGAUUGAGGAACUCAGCACGCCGCAAGGCCAGGUUUUUAACCAUGUACGUGCUUAGGAUGCUGGCAUAAUGGCUUUAAUCGACCCGUCUUGAAACACGGACCAAGGAGUCUAACAUGCCUGCGAGUGUUUGGGUGGAAAACCCGAGCGCGCAAUGAAAGUGAAAGUUGAGAUCCCUGUCGUGGGGAGCAUCGACGCCCGGACCAGACCUUUUGUGACGGUUCCGCGGUAGAGCAUGUAUGUUGGGACCCGAAAGAUGGUGAACUAUGCCUGAAUAGGGUGAAGCCAGAGGAAACUCUGGUGGAGGCUCGUAGCGAUUCUGACGUGCA